rnacentral:rRNA from 1 species
AGUGAACGCUGGCGGCGUGCUUAACACAUGCAAGUCGAACGAGAACGGAAUAUAGCUUGCUAUAUUUGUCAGCUAAGUGGCGCACGGGUGAGUAAUGUAUAGAUAACCUGCCCUUAAGAAAGGAAUAACAGUUGGAAACGACUGCUAAUGCCCUAUAUGCCUUUAAUACAUAAGUAUGCAAGGGAAACGCUUUAGUGCUUAAGGAUGGGUCUGUAUGGUAUCAGCUUGUUGGUGAGGUAAUGGCUCACCAAGGCUAUGACGCCUAACUGGUUUGGGAGGAUGAUCAAUCACACUGGAACUGAGACACGGUCCAGACUCCUACGGGAGGCAGCAGUGGGGAAUAUUGCACAAUGGACGAAAGUCUGAUGCAGCAACGCCGCGUGGAGGAUGACACAUUUCGGUGCGUAAACUCCUUUUAUAUAGGAAGAUAAUGACGGUACUAUAUGAAUAAGCACCGGCUAACUCCGUGCCAGCAGCCGCCGUAA